rnacentral:rRNA from 1 species
GGCUCAGGAUGAACGCUAGCUACAGGCUUAACACAUGCAAGUCGAGGGGAAACGAUAUUGGAAGCUUGCUUCCGAUAGGCGUCGACCGGCGCACGGGUGAGUAACGCGUAUCCAACCUGCCCAUCACUUGGGAAUAACCUUGCGAAAGUAAGACUAAUGCCCAAUGACAUUUAUAGAAGGCAUCUGAAAUGAAUUAAAGAUUUAUCGGUGAUGGAUGGGGAUGCGUCUGAUUAGCUUGUUGGCGGGGUAACGGCCCACCAAGGCGACGAUCAGUAGGGGUUCUGAGAGGAAGGUCCCCCACAUUGGAACUGAGACACGGUCCAAACUCCUACGGGAGGCAGCAGUGAGGAAUAUUGGUCAAUGGACGCAAGUCUGAACCAGCCAAGUAGCGUGCAGGAUGACGGCCCUAUGGGUUGUAAACUGCUUUUAUACGGGGAUAAAGUGAGCCACGUGUGGCUUAUUGCAGGUACCGUAUGAAUAAGGACCGGCUAAUUCCGUG